AGAAAUACGUACUAGUUCAAACGCAUUAAAUAUUACUAAAUAUAAAAUAAUUAUCCAACUAAAACCAUAAUUUAUUUAUAAAUUAUGAUGAGCCCUCAAAUAAUAAAUCUCUAACCCAAAUUCCAUACUAAGACAGUGCAACAUCUAAAUAGAGUAAUAGAAGUCAAACCGACGGGCAUGCAAACCCGAAAGAAAUAAUAAACAUAAGAUAGGUAGAACUGAAACAGUGGCCUCCAUGAAUGAUGUGGCGGCUCACCUCAGCAAUGGAAUCCACUCAACGAACUUGUUAGCCACUAGUCUCGUCCUCGUCAACAGUAUCUGCAUGGACAUGCAAGUAAGGAGUGAGUUAUACGUAAAUAUAACUCAAUAAGAUUCUCGACCCGCCACUCUGAAUACCUAUGGAAUAAGUGUUCGAAAAUACAAACACUCAACGAGCACAUAAAUAAUAUGCCCAAAAAUUCUUUCACUAUAUAAUAACUCUAUAAGGCCCAAACAAUUAUUCAACAACAAUACCAUAUAUCUCAGCACAAUCUAUACUAAGGACUUGUCAUAAACGACAAUGAAAAAAAUUAACCAUACACCCCAACGAGUCCACGACAACAUACACAAUGCCUCAAAUCUAUCACGGCGGCAUACACAAUACCCUAAAUAUAUUACGGUAGCGAAGAAAUAAUUUCUAACGCCCCAACGGCAUAGCACGAGGCUAUGCCACAUCACACCACACAACAAAUCACUUAUAAAUAUUUUUAAAUUUUUUUACAAAAUAAUAUAUAUUUGUGGCUGGUCAAAGACCACCGAUUCUGUCGAGCGCACGCUAGUCCCAACACAUAGACCUGUCAGACAAAACAUACUUUCAAAAUGGGUUUUGAAAAGGCAAACACCAAAGCUUAAAGUCUCACUUUCCCAACCUUGCAACAUCCAGAACACCAAGCAAACAACCUCCAAUCUCCUCAAUCUAUCUAAAAUAUUAAAUAACACGUCCUAAUUAAGCUAGGUGAAUAAUUUUCAUAAUCUUAGGACGAGUCAAAAUUAAAGUUAACCCUAGUCUAAUUAAUAAAAUAUGUACACAAUUCGUUAAACGCAGAACGUGAAAGAGAAUACCGAAAAAGAGUUGGCUGCAGAAUGCAUUCUGAUGCUUAAUCCACCUAACUCAUUAUAAUUAUUCUAAUCAUUGUCAACCAUUGAAUCAUAAUUACUCUAGCCUCUCAUUAUUAAAUAAUUAUUGGCUAAUCAUUAGUAUUCUAAUUUUUUAAAAGAAGCAAAAGUAUAAAUCGAAAGUUGAAUUUCUGAUGCAAGUUACUGCCAUCCUAAUAUUAUUGGCUAAUCAUAAUAAUAAUCAUUAGUUUAUUAUGAUGCCAUUAUUUUUUUAAAAAAAUAUCUCUACAAGGUAUGUAUAUAUAAUACUCAAAAGUGUGAGCUAACAAAUCAAAGUAAAUCUCCACACCUGAGCUAUUAAACCUUCACAGUGCUUGUUUCAAUUACUUCCCUCAAUCCCGCCGUCCAACCCCCCUGAAGCUCUCCUCUGUGUUUCCCUUAUAUAUGCUUCAGGAACAAAGGGAUCAAUUUCCCUAGGUCUUAAAACGUGGCAGCUACAAAAGAUUGGGCUUGGCCCACUUACUGUAUCCCUUUAAUGAAAA
rnacentral:lncRNA from 1 species